rnacentral:rRNA from 1 species
UACGGGGGGGGCAAGCGUUGUUCGGAAUUACUGGGCGUAAAGGGCUCGUAGGCGGCCAACUAAGUCAGACGUGAAAUCCCUCAGCUUAACUGGGGAACUGCGUCUGAUACUGGAUGGCUAGAGUGUGGGAGAGGGAUGCGGAGUUCCAGGUGUAGCGGUGAAAUGCGUAGAUAUCUGGAGGAACACCGGUGGCGAAGGCGGCAUCCUGGACCACGACUGACGCUGAGUGAGCGAAAGCCAGGGGAGCAAACGGG